rnacentral:rRNA from 1 species
UACGUAGGGGGCAAGCGUUGUCCGGAAUUAUUGGGCGUAAAGAGCGCGUAGGCGGUCCGGUAAGUCGGUUGUGAAAGUCGGGGGCUCAACCCUCGAAUGCCGGUGGAUACUGUCGGGCUAGAGUGCAGAAGGGGCAACUGGAAUUCUCGGUGUAGCGGUGAAAUGCGUAGAUAUCGAGAGGAACACCUGCGGCGAAGGCGGGUUGCUGGGCUGACACUGACCGCUGAUGCGCGAACUAGGG